AGCAUGUUUCCUUUCGGUAUUGCCGGCAACCAGUAAAGAAACAGUUACUUUAAUUUUCUGUGCAGUAAACCCUCACUAGAUGGCUCCUUACAGCAAGUAAAUAUAUUCCCCACAGAAGGAGCACUGAUGUGGCACAGUCUGUGUGAGAGCAGGGACAGCGUGUUGCUAACUGGGCUGCAUGGCUGGCUGAGCGCUGUGCGUGGAAAAGCAGGAUAUAACACGGGCGUGUGUGGGUGAGCAAGUGAGCGCUCACACGAAUUACCAAUGACACCACUCUGCAAGUCGUGAACUAACGCAGAACGGGGCCGUGGUCAAGGGUACCAGCAGUGGAGAUCCUGCAGCGGAAACAGCUGAUCCCAGCAGCCAAGGACCUGGGACUCACAGCGGGAUGACUCAGAAACCAAUCUUUAGUUGCACAACAAGCUCCAGAAAGACGAGGAACACAACCAGUGAAUUUGCAUAUAUUCACUUUGGAGGGGGCUUGCCAGUGGUCCAUGAACCAGGCUUAGGAGGCCCCUAAUUUGGACAGGCUCCUGCAUCCAGGUCUGACCCAAGAGCAUCAGACCUCAAAAUGGAAAUCACUGCACCAUGGGACAAAGGGACAGCAACCCUGCCCAGCAGGAGCAAAUGGGAAAUAUCCUUCUCUGGAAACACCUUUGGGUGUUGGGGGCUUUCCUGAUGUUGGGGUGGGUUUUUUUUUUAAAUUUGAAUAUUUAUGUAAUGAAUAAAUAAUUUUUUAAAAAUAAAAAUAAAAAUAAAAAUAAAAAUAAAAAUAAAAAUAAAAAUAAAAAUAAAAAUAAAAAUAAAAAUAAAAAUAAAAAUAAAAAUAAAAAUAAAAAUAAAAAUAAAAAUAAAAAUAAAAAUAAAAAUAAAAAUAAACCCCAAUCUCGGGAUUGCUUGCAGAGCAAUUGGGCAGCUGGCAGAGCAUCAGUGAGGCAGCGAAUCCCCACUGUCACCCUGAGGCAGAGCCUGCUGGUGCUGCUGGCUCUGUGACACCUGCCCAGGGACAACACCAGACAGGUCACAAACCACAACAGUGGGACACCACUGGAGCUGUAGGCCAGCCUCAGCUCCCAGCAGUGCAACUAACAGCAGGGCCUGGGACCCUGCCACCACUGCUGCUGGGACAGCACUGCAGCACUGAGGUGUCCUGUUUGACAGGGCCAGCCAUGGGCACCUGCUGAAGGCAACCCUAGUGCCAGCCCUGUCUACGCCAGGAGGUGGAGACACAAUGGUAAAAGCUACCCACUGUCUUAUUUUAUCCCAGAUCAGAUGACCCUAAAUCAAUGAGCUGUGCCUGAUGCUUCUGAGUGCACUCAAGCCUGCACAUAAAAGAGGACAGGCAAAAUAAUCAUGUUGCAAAAUGCUGAGAAUAGUCGAAGUGGUCACCCAGUGUAUCCAGGCUGCUAAGAAAGCUCUUUUGAUUAAA